AAUUUUUUUUUCUCGGACAAAAUUCAUUUUCAUCCCAUCGCAACUCUCUUCUCUCUUUCUCUUCCCCGAUGAUUUUCAAUCAAUCGGAGAUUCCGUCAAAUUUACCGGUGGUGUUGUAAUCCGAGCAUCGAGUAUCUAUUCCCAUCAUCAAGAUUGGGCGAUGAACCUGAUAACAUCGAGAAGAAAAACAUUACAACAUCUGAUCCACUGACUUCAAGCACUUGGGAUGAGUUGAAAUUGAGAGAAUUUAAAUGAUGCAAAAUGAGAGAAUAGUUGCAGAUCUUGUUGUUUUUAUCUUAAAUAUAUGACCUGUUUUAUUGUUAUCUGUAUAUAAACAAUGUUCACACUUUAUGAUUUAGUAUAGGCAUCAGUAGUGGAA